UAUAAAUGAUUCUUACCUACAUAUAUGCUCCACAUUCGACACUUGUACCUAGUAUUUUAUCAAGAGUAAAGGGCAUUUUGGAGUGUUUAGUUCUACUUUUCCCUUCUUCGUGAUCCUUUUUCCUUUAUUGAUCCUACCGACCUUCUCAUGGUCACACCAACCCGACUCAGGCAUCAUAAUCCCAAGACGGUCCUAAUCGGAGAUGCUACUUCCAAUUUCUUCAGCACGGUCAUCAUUCUCUCUGAGAUCAGCAGGGAUAUGUGAUUCUGGACAUGCUCACUCACAGAACCUAACCCUUCUUAUUUGUGCAGCAGCCAACUCACGGGUAAAUUACUGAUUGCCUUGGGCUUUGCCACUGUCUUUUUGAGCUUCCGUCCGUCUUUAUAGGUUUCAAUCUGAUGCAUGGAAGAAGGGUUUGGUCGGUGCAUGGAAUCGGGCCUUUGUCAACGAAUGGAUUUGGGGUCAAAACACCUUGACUCAAUGCAAUGGAGAGUUUGAAUGGUUGCAGUGGAGUUGAAUCAUCCAGUCGACUUUUUGAAGAUUGUGGAAUCCGAAGGGUUUGGAAGACGUGCUAAGGCUACAAGCAUUGGCUCAAAAGUCUGGGAGAUUCAUGAUUUAUGUCCAUACCAAAGGGAUGAUAAUUGAUGAUAAGUACGUUAUCAUGGGAUCAGCAAGCAUUAACUAAAGAUCCUUAGAUGGUUCAAGGGGCACAGAAAUAGCUAUUAAGUGCUUACCAACCAAAUUACCCAUGGGCAGGAAAGAAAUCCCUCCCGUAUUGCUAGGUUUGGGAUUCUGUCUCUACUCACUUUUAAAUGCUCAAAAAAGUGCCAGACAGUCAUUUGUGCAUACUAUUUCUAUUUUUUUGGUUUAAUUGUUUUAGCAUAUGCUUCAAAGGAAACAAAAUGGCAUUAAAGCAUGGAGAAUAGCAUCUCUGGGGUCUAAAAUAUAUUUAAUGUUUGCCUAAAUUCCCAUUUAGAUUUGUUAGUUGCACCAGUAUUGUUGGAUGUAGGUUUAUGGUUAUCGGAUGUCUCUGUGGGCUGAACACCUUGGCAAACUGAAGGAUAGUUUUGAAGAACCGCAAAGCGUAGAAUGUGUUUCUAAUUGUUCUAAAUUAUGUUUUAUUUUAUCUGUACUUCAAGUUUAUGGCUGGAUGGGAGCAGAAAAAGGCUACCGAUGGUAAGUUUUUUUUUUUUUUGCCUCAAGUUUGUUAGGAUCCAUUGUUAAUGCAUGCAUAAAAGUAUGGUCAUUUCUAAUCUUGCAAAUGAUGUGUUGUUCAUAUUCUAGGAGGAAAAAAGAAGGAAGUGAAGAAGAUUGGUUUGGGUCUCUCCUUUACUAAGGAUGAGAAUUUCAGGGAAUGGUACUCUGAGGUAUAUUUUGUUGCAAUGGUACAAUUGCUUUGUGAUUGUUAUACUACUUUAUUGGGAUCUUAGUAUCUUAUGAUUAUAUCAUACAUUUUUGGCUUUUGUAAGUUACUGUCAGCGGUGAAAUGAUUGACAUCAAUGACAUUUCUAGCUGUUAUAUUUGGAGGCCAUGGGCAAUUUCAAUUGGGAGAUUAAGUCAUAUAAUAUUUAUACUCAUUGCAGUUUAAUUAGUAAAUAGCAAGUGUUAAUUAAUAACGAGGGAAAAAAUGGUCAUGGAUGCCAUUCUUUGAUUUUUUUUUUUUCUUUCCCUUCCCUUUAACUUAUCUAUGAUUGUAAAUUGCACACAUUCUUUGAUGUGGAAAUCAAAAAAAAUGAAAGUCAAGAACUUC